GCCAGUUCUCCUGCGUAAAAGCGGAGGGAACUUCUCUUUCAAUGACAGUAAAGUCAGGAGCCGGGACCUCUGACGCACAGAAUAGGGGUACCAUGUUAAUGUUUCAGUUGUGUGCAUGCUCUGAUCCUAGUUUGUCACUUCUGUCCCAUAAAGCAAGAGGAGCUAAGAGUAGAGUAGGGGUGAUGUAGAUCCUUUGCAUUUGAGUGUAAAAGUUAUAAAGAAUAAGGAAAAUUCCACCCAUGAAUUCACUGGAGCAUGUAGUCUGAUGAACAGCCCACGUAAACAGAAGACUUGUAUCUUGUGAUUGUCCUUAACUAAAGGUGGCUGUGACAUCACUCUUAGCUCUUCCAGAAAAGAAGAUAGCUGGGCAAGCAGCAGUGACUGACAAUCAGGGACAAGGAAAAGCAAACUCCAUGCCAUUAGACUUCCUGUCACAGGAAGUGAGUAAUGAAGACUAUGACCAGGAUCAGCAGGGCCUUACCAGGUGGAGGAAAGGAUCAGCUGGGUUUCUUCUUUCUAUAAGGCCACCACUGCACAGUAUACCCCAAUGCCAUCAAGGUAUAAAAGGGGCAGAAUCCAUCUGUUGUAUUUUUGGAGUGACAGGGGAAUUCCAAGAGCUGAAUGUAUUGGAGGCUGAAAUGACUAACUAGGAUGGAGUGGGCAAAAUAUAGAAUCAUAGAAUCCCCAAGGUUGGAAAAGACCUCUAAGAUCAUCUAGUCCAACCAUCCACUUAUCAGCAGUAUUUCCCCACUAACCAUGUCCCUCAGUACAACAUCUAAAUGCUUCUUGAACACCUCCAGGGACGCUGACUCCACCACCUCCCUGGGCAGCCUGUGCCAAUGUCUCACCACUCUCUCACAGAAGUAUUUCCUAACGUCCAACCUGAACCUCUCCUGGCACAACUUGAGGCCAUUCCCUCUCAUCCUAUUGCAGUUACAUGGGAGAAGAGAUUGAUCCCCACUACAUCACAGCCUCCCUUCAGGCAAUUGUAGAGAGCGAUAACAUCUCCCCUGAGCCUCCUCUUCUGCAGACUGAAAAUCCCAGUUCCCUCAGCCUCUCCCAAUAAGACUUGUGCUCCAGGCCCUUCACAGCUUCACUGCCCUUCUCUGGACACACUCCAGGGCCUCUAUGUCUUUAUUGUUGUGAGUGGUUAAAGGAAAUCCAAGACAUCCUUUAAAGAUUAAUCAAUUUUUAGACUUCUAAAGGUUACUCUUGCAGUAACAUA
rnacentral:lncRNA from 1 species